rnacentral:rRNA from 1 species
UACAGAGGGUGCGAGCGUUAAUCGGAAUUACUGGGCGUAAAGCGCGCGUAGGCGGCUUUGCAAGUCGGGUGUGAAAUCCCCAGGCUUAACCUGGGAACUGCAUUCGAGACUGCAUUGCUAGAGUAUGGGAGAGGGAAGUGGAAUUUCCGGUGUAGCGGUGAAAUGCGUAGAUAUCGGAAGGAACAUCAGUGGCGAAAGCGACUUCCUGGACCAAUAUUGACGCUGAGGAGCGAAAGCCAGGGGAGCAAACGGG